rnacentral:rRNA from 1 species
CCUACGGGUGGCGGCAGUGGGGAAUAUUGCACAAUGGGGGAAACCCUGAUGCAGCGACGCCGCGUGAAGGAAGAAGUAUUUCGGUAUGUAAACUUCUAUCAGCAGGGAAGAAAAUGACGGUACCUGACUAAGAAGCCCCGACUAACUACGUGCCAGCAGCCGCGGUAAUACGUAGGGGGCAAGCGUUAUCCGGAUUUACUGGGGGUAAAGGGAGCGUAGGCGGUUUAGCAAGUCAGAAGUGAAAGCCCGGGGCUCAACUCCGGGACUGCUUUUGAAACUGUUGAACUAGAGUGCAGGAGAGGUAAGUGGAAUUCCUAGUGUAGCGGUGAAAUGCGUAGAUAUUAGGAGGAACACCAGUGGCGAAGGCGGCUUACUGGACUGUAAAUGACGCUGAGGCUCGAAAGCGUGGGGAGCAAACAGGAUUAGAUACCCGGGUAGUC